rnacentral:rRNA from 1 species
CAUGGCUCAGAUUGAACGCUGGCGGCGUGCUUAACACAUGCAAGUCGAACGAGAAAGGGACUUCGGUCCUGAGUAGAGUGGCGCACGGGUGAGUAACGCGUAGGUAAUCUACCUCUGCAUCUGGGAUAACACUUCGAAAGGGGUGCUAAUACCGGAUACACUUAUGGACCGCAAGGUCUAUAAGGAAAGGAGACCUCUCCUUGGAAGUUUCUGUGUAGAGAUGAGCCUGCGUCCCAUUAGCUAGUUGGCAGGGUAAUGGCCUACCAAGGCGACGAUGGGUAGCGGGUCUGAGAGGAUGAUCCGCCACACUGGAACUGAAACACGGACCAGACUCCUACGGGAGGCAGCAGUGAGGAAUAUUGGACAAUGGGCGCAAGCCUGAUCCAGCGACGCCGCGUGAGUGAUGAAGGCCUUUGGGUCGUAAAGCUCUGUCAGCAGGGAAGAACGGCCGUGUGGUUAAUACCCAUGCGGAUUGACGGUACCUGCAGAGGAAGCACCGGCUAACUCCGUGCCAGCAGCCGCGGUAAUACGGAGGGUGCGAGCGUUAAUCGAUUACUGGGCUAAAGGGCGCGUAGGCGGCUGAUCAAGUCAGGUGUG